GAAGGUGCCUUCAUGGUGGAGAAGGAGAUCUUAAGUAAUAUUCCAAGCCAAAGUCUGGAGUUUCAAAUUGGCUUUAUAAAUGCUCAGACCUGGGUAUAUAAACCAUGCCAUCUAGCAGGUUGGAGGCACCCGGUACAUAUUUAUUCUCUUCUACUUGCAGGGCUCCAACAUGAAUCAGUUCAUCUCUGCAUUGAUGGAGGUGGUAAAGCUGGCUUCAUUACUUCUCUUACCAAUUUUGAAAGGGAGGCUUUGAGAGGGACGUCUUACCACAGUUUUGGAGGGGAACUUGCCUGAGGUCACCCAAGUCCGUUUGAACACAGAGCUUGUGCUCCCAAAAUGAGGGCUCUCUCAGGAUUGUAUCAGAAUCACAGAGAGAGAGACUGCAAGAUUCUUGGCCGCUUCUCACUGACUGCUGCAGGCCUGGAGAGGGACUGGCCUGCGAGUCCACAGUGAGCUUGUUGGCUCCCACUGCCCAGGAUGCUCUUCCCUCCUGCCUGCUUCUGCAGAGCUUCUCCUGUUAGACCCCUACUUGAGUCUACUUCCUGAGAAAAUCUCUUGAGCACCUAGACUCAGAAGAUUCCCAUCUCACUCCCAUGAUACGGUGUGCACUUUCUUCACAGCCUUCAUCACCUUCACAAGUUCAUAUUUAUUUUUGUAAUUUUUGGAUAAGAUCUGACAUCUCCCAUUGGACUAUAUAUGCUCCAGUAGAGUGAGUUCUGUGCCUGGGUUUACUCACUGUUGUUUUUUCAGGGCAUAAUACUGUGCCUGGUACAUUGCUGAUAUUCAACAAAUAUUUAUCAGCUGUCUGUUGACUGAAAUCAGGAGACUGGAUCAAGUGCUCCCCAAUGUCCCUUUCAGCCUUUGACCCUAUAAAUACCUAUAAGAGCAAGGGACGACUUCUUUUUGUCCUAUGUCUCCCAAGACAACAAAUUCAGAUCAAGGCAUACCUCAGAAACUCUGGUUUUUCUGACUUAUCAUUAUCUGGAGAUAUCCAAGCAGCUGCUCUCUGGUGAGCUGGAUGACUAGCCAGCUGAAAGCAGGGACACGCUUGUGUGUGCUGAGCCCAGCACAGGGACUGCUGCAUCCAUGUGGGUGCUGAAUCAGCAUUUUCUUGCAGGGAUGAGGUGAAAGAGGCCAAUGGCAAUGAAAUAAGGCAUUCUUCACUCCUCCCUUCUCAAGUCAUAUUUCUCUUCCCUCAAAAAUGCUUCUAGGAAUAACUGAAGCAAGACUGAACAUCAUGUGGCCAUCUGGCUAGUGACAUUACAGAGAAAAUGAUCAACAAUAAAAGGAACAGCCUGUGGCA
rnacentral:lncRNA from 1 species